UACAGAGGGGGCAAGCGUUGUUCGGAAUUACUGGGCGUAAAGGGCGCGUAGGCGGCCUUCUAAGUCAGACGUGAAAUCCCCGGGCUCAGCCCGGGAACUGCGUCUGAUACUGGAGGGCUUGAAUCCGGGAGAGGGAUGUGGAAUUCCAGGUGUAGCGGUGAAAUGCGUAGAUAUCUGGAGGAACACCCGUGGCGAAAGCGGCUCACUGGGUCUUUUCUGACGCUGAUGCACGAAAGCUAGGGGAGCAAACGGG
rnacentral:rRNA from 1 species